UAUUGAGCCAAAUUAAUUCACAAAAAGAUAAAUCAGAAGUUUUCAGAGUGAUCUAUGGAUGAUUUCACCUUGUACACCCGGGAAAAUUGUGAAAAUGAUAGUAAGUAUUUUUUUAUUUAUACCUAGAUAUCCCAGAUGAUUUCAGAUAACCAUUAUAGAUAAAUACCAGCAGAUACUCAAUGAAAUUUUCGCUUUUAGAAAGCAUUACAGGCACGGGGCUGAACACUUUUUUUAGGCACAAUUCUAACUUUGUUUACACCCCCGAGAGAUCCGAAAGGAAUUUGUUUAUGAAUUGAAAAAGGCAUGAACUAACAUAAUAGUUUUAUCUUUCCAGACAUAUCAUUACUUUUUAACCUGAGAUGACAAACUAGAGGUUUUAAAAGGUCCUGAAUAACUGAAAUGGACAAAAAUACACAGAUUUAUUCAAAAUGUCAUACCGAUGAAGAUCACAUUAAAAUAUUUGGAAAAAUCAAAACUAUGGAUUGCAAUAUGGGACAACAUCCCUAAUGCGCCUUGAAAUGAGGAACUCAAAAGUCAAGUGUAAAGAAAAAAUCUCUAUGUAGUGAUAUUGGACAUGUUUAUAUUUUUAACAAAUGACUGAACUUAAUUAUUUGUGGUGAUUAGGGAAGUAGAGGAACAUAGAAUAAAUGUGUAAAAACUAUGGAGCUAUUGAAUGUGUUCAAAGUAUUAAAUUUUCAAAGAACUUAUUGUGUUAAAAAGGGGAUAUUUUACCACAAGGAGCCGCAUCACAAAAGGAUGUUCGGGGUUUGCUAAUUUACUGAAAAAGUAAUCUCACUUCGUACCCUGAAAAUUUAACCACAUAUGUGAAAAUGUCACAGCUUCGAAACGAGCUAUCAUACAUAUCCAAGUUUACGAUAUGGACUGAGCUACAGGAAAAAACGUUACCAUUACCUCCUAUGGAA